CAGCAGCCACGGUAAUACGUAGGUCCCGAGCGUUGUCCGGAUUUAUUGGGCGUAAAGGGGGCGCAGGCGGUUUAGUAAGUCUGAAGUUAAAGGCAUUGGCUCAACCAAUGUAUGCUUUGGAAACUGUUAGACUUGAGUGCAGAAGGGGAGAGUGGAAUUCCAUGUGUAGCGGUGAAAUGCGUAGAUAUAUGGAGGAACACCGGUGGCGAAAGCGGCUCUCUGGUCUGUCACUGACGCUGAGGCUCGAAAGCGUGGGUAGCGAACAGGAUUAGAUACCCCAGUAGUCCCUGUCUCUUAUACA
rnacentral:rRNA from 1 species